AUGAAGAACGUAGCGAAAUGCGAUAAGUAAUGUGAAUUGCAGAAUUCAGUGAAUCAUCGAAUCUUUGAACGCACAUUGCGCCCCUUGGUAUUCCGAGGGGCAUGCCUGUUCGAGCGUCAUAUUAACCACUCCCGCUUGCGGGGUCUUGGGCUUCGCCUCCGGGCGGGCCUUAAAAUCAGUGGCGGUGCCGUCGGGCUCUACGCGUAGUAAAUUUUCUCGCGAUAGGGUCCCGGUGGAUGCUUGCCAACAACCCCCAACUUCUUAAGGUUGACCUCGGAUCAGGUAGGGAUACCCGCUGAACUUAAGCAUAUCAAUAAGCGGAGGA
rnacentral:misc_RNA from 1 species